rnacentral:rRNA from 1 species
GACGAACGCUGGCGGCGUGCCUAAUACAUGCAAGUCGAGCGGACGAAUCGAAAGCUUGCUUUUGAUUCGUUAGCGGCGGACGGGUGAGUAACACGUGGGCAACCUGCCCUGUAGACGGGGAUAACACCGAGAAAUCGGUGCUAAUACCGGAUAACACGAAAUGUCGCAUGACGUUUCGUUGAAAGACGGCGCAAGCUGCCGCUACAGGAUGGGCCCGCGGCGCAUUAGCUAGUUGGUGAGGUAACGGCUCACCAAGGCGACGAUACGUAGCCGACCUGAGAAGGUGAUCGGCCACACUGGGACUGAGACACGGCCCAGACUCCUACGGGAGGCAGCAGUAGGGAAUCUUCCGCAAUGGACGAAAGUCUGACGGAGCAACGCCGCGUGAGCGAAGAAGGCCUUCGGGUCGUAAAGCUCUGUUGUUAGGGAAGAACAAGUAACGCAGUAACUGGCGUUACCGUGACGGUACCUAACGAGAAAGCCACGGCUAACUACGUG